rnacentral:rRNA from 1 species
GAUGAACGCUAGCGGCAGGCUUAAUACAUGCAAGUCGAGGGGGCAGCGGGGGUAGCAAUACCUGCCGGCGACCGGCAAACGGGUGCGGAACACGUACAGAACCUUCCUUUAAGUGGGGGAGUAGCCCGGAGAAAUCCGGAUUAAUACCCCGUAACAUUGUGUGGUGGCAUCAUCAUAUAAUUAUAGAUUUAUCGCUUAGAGAUGGCUGUGCGGCUGAUUAGGUAGUUGG